CACAGAAGCAACGUCUCAAUCUCACGGGAGCAUAAACAAUCAAAGAUCUGUCCACUAAAGUGACUGUACCAGCCACAACAAGGAAGCAAGGAUAUAAUUUCCUUCUCCUUAUCUCUUGGAACUAAUAGAUGAAGAAAAGAUCCAAGAAAGAGUUUUUCAUACAGCCUGUGAGACAGGGACUUAGACCAAUUGUCAUUUUUCUUUGGCUUGUGGUCUCCAGGUCCUAAAAGCCUCCCCCACUGCUAAUUCAGAUUCACCCAGUGGCUGCCAAUGACUUCCAGGGUCCAGCAAACUGUGAGUUACCUUACACUGUAGACUGCCCUGUCCUGGAGUUUUGGCUCUUACUGUAGGUUUUGACAGGGGCU
rnacentral:lncRNA from 1 species